ACUCUGACACCGACGAGUCGAUCCGGAGCAUCGGGAAAGGUGAAUCAUUAUAAUGUGAAGAAUUUUAUAACUUGACGAGGAUGUCAAUGCAACAGUGAUUGAUUAUUUAUAUUAUAUCUUCUAAAAUGUUAAGGAAAGAAGUUGGAGAAAAUCAUUAUCAACAAAGAUAUGGGUUGCUCUGUGACAUUAAGUUUUCUAAUUCAUGGUAAUGGCGUGACUGCUACAUCUUCGUUUUUUUGAAUAAAUAAAUCAAUCAUAUACAAUAUUAUUCCUGAAGUAUGUAAUGCUAUAUGAAAAAUAUGGCAACCAUAUAUCUUCAGUGUCCACAAAAAAAAUGAAUGGAUAAGAAUCGCAGAGAAGUUUUAUAAUAUUUUCUAAAUUGUGUGUGUGUAUGUAUGCAGCGGAGAUGUUGAUGGAAAACACUAUCGAAUUCAAGCUUUACGUUUCCUGAAUGAUAUUGGAAUUUAGUCAAAUACCGCAAUGAAAGAAGCAUUUAAAAAUAACACAAUAUCUAUAUUGAGAGCUCAUUUUUUGGCUAACACGUAUUGUUUACUACCAUUUUGUGUUGUUUAUGAUGAAAGUUUUUCACUCAAAGUAUAUUUGAUGUGUCCAUUUACAAAAAAAAAUUUACAAAAUAAUGAUCAAAGAAUAAUUAAUUAUCGGUUAUAAAGAAGAUGUUAGGUCAUUGAAAAUACUUUUGGAAUUCUUGCUUUACGAUUUUACAAAAAUCAUUAGCUCAGAAAUUGAGUACUGUAGAAAAAAUUGUCCAAGCAAUAACUUGCUUAUACAUUACACUUGUUAAUUACAUUAUAACUAUCAACAUAACAAAUAAUUUACAUAAAAGAAUGAUUGAUCAAGAAGAUGCUAAUGAUGUGAUAAUACCAGGAAAUUAGCGAAAUAUAGUAAGAGAAAAUAGUUUCAUUAAUCCUUUAG